rnacentral:misc_RNA from 1 species
GAAAUGCGAUAAGUAGUGUGAAUUGCAGAAUUCAGUGAGUCAUCGAAUCUUUGAACGCACAUUGCGCCCUUUGGUAUUCCAAAGGGCAUGCCUGUUCGAGCGUCAUUUGUACCCUCAAGCUUUGCUUGGUGUUGGGCGUCUUGUCUCUAGCUUUGCUGGAGACUCGCCUUAAAGUAAUUGGCAGCCGGCCUACUGGUUUCGGAGCGCAGCACAAGUCGCACUCUCUAUCAGCAAAGGUCUAGCAUCCAUUAAGCCUUUUUUCAACUUUUGACCUCGGAUCAGGUAGGGAUACCCGCUGAACUUAAGC